rnacentral:rRNA from 1 species
UACGUAGGGGGCGAGCGUUGUCCGGAUUCAUUGGGCGUAAAGAGCGCGUAGGCGGCUAGAUAAGUCCGGUGUGAAAGUCACAGGCUCAACCUGUGAAUGCCGCUGGAAACUGUCUGGCUAGAGUCCGGAAGGGGCGAGUGGAAUUCCUGGUGUAGCGGUGAAAUGCGCAGAUAUCAGGAGGAACACCAAUGGCGAAGGCAGCUCGCUGGGACGGUACUGACGCUGAGGCGCGAAAGCGUGGGGAGCAAACAGG